rnacentral:rRNA from 1 species
GGGUCAAUAGGUUGGUCGUGCCACCGGUACGUACUGGUCUCACUGAUUCCUCCUUCCUGAAGAACCGUAAUGCCAUUAAUUUGGUGUUGCGGGGAAACAGGACUGUUACUUUGAAAAAAUUAGAGUGUUUAAAGCAAGCUGACGCUUGAAUACAUUAGCAUGGAAUAAUGAAAUAGGACGAUCGAUCCUAUUUUGUUGGUUUCUAGGAUUGACGUA